rnacentral:RNase_P_RNA from 1 species
GGUAAGAGCGCACCGCAUAACUGGCAACAGUUUAUGGCAAGGUAAACCCCACUGGGAGCAAGACCAAAUAGGAAAACAAUGCGUGGUCCGCGCAGUUUUCGGGUAGGUUGCUUGAGGCGUGCAGCGAUGUACUGUCCAGAUGAAUGAUUACCACAUUAUUAAUUUAAUGACACAGAACCCGGCUUAUCGACCAACUUCUUUA